AACAGUUGUUUAUUUAGAGUUAUUUAUUAUUGUUUUCUGAUAUUUUGCAAUUGUUAAGUUGGUUUACUUCGAAUUUAAUAUGCAUUACUGUGGUAUUUCUCCAGUUUUCUAAGAAGGUUGGUGAUUUUGAAUUGGGAUUAUGAUGAAUUUAACCCAAAGGCAAUGUGUGUUUAUUUAUGUGGCAAAAUUCCAGGCACCAUAAAAAUUUGAGUUUCUUCCUGUUGCCCAUGGAUGAAAAUCGGUUUGCAGAAUGAAAAGAAAUUGUUCAAUGUGAUAAACUUCUAUGAACAGUCCUCAAUAUUGUUACAUUAACUUUUAAAUAUGCACUUUACAUCUUGAGGAGCAGGCCUUUGCAGAAAUACUGAAAAGCGGGUUGCAAAACAAUGCAAAAUAAAAUAAAUGAAAUAUGUCUUGAGAUUAAACAUUCAAGUUAAAGGUGUGUUCUUUCUUAAACUGGAAUGAUAAUUUUGUAAUUCUGUAGGCACAUCUAUUGAGAAGUUACAACCAGUGGAAAAGUGCCUUAAGGGAAUCUAUGACAUAUAUAAUUGAAGGGACAUCUCCUCUGAAGGAAUUACAAUUAUUUGCCAGUAUGUCAAAUGAAUUUUCAACAUCAGUCAUACUUUCAUGAAUUUAUUGAUGAAAAUAAAACUAGGUACAUGAUUUAUUAUUUACUUCCAAGGGAUUCUAAGAUACUAUGUGUAAAAAGUCCAAUAUGCAGUGAUGAGCAUGCUAAUAACAGGCAAAAUAUGGGAUAUAACGCCAAAGAUGGGAAACAUGGGAUGCAUUCUGAAGUAAAAAGAGAUGAAACUGAGAGAAAUUAUCGAUAUAAACAUAUAAAUUAACAUUACAUUACAUAGUUUCCCACCUUUAGACGUAUCAGAUGAGUAUGAGAACUGUCACUGUGCCAGGAGAAUUUUAUAAAAUACUCAUGUCACAGAUAUCUAAAGGUGGGAAACUAUGUAAUGUUAUCGUCGGCUAAGAGUGUUAACCUGCUAACUCCAUUUUUCACUGUGAGUGAUAUUGGGGUAGUUUCUAGGUCUGUGUACCUUCAUACCAUGUCCCACAAGCCCGCUGGUUCCACUGUAGUUUAGAGAUAGCUAUUUCCAAACUACAUUGGUGUCGACGGGUUUGUGUGGUGGUGUAUGAAAAUACACGGACCCAGAAACUAGCCCAAUAUCACUCAAAGUGAAAAAUGGAGUUAGCAGGUUAAAACUCUUAUCCAAGGUUAUGUUAAUUUAUUCGUUUAUAACGAUAAGUUCCACUUCUACCAGUUUCAUCUCUUUUUAUCUCACAAGUUAAUAUAUUUUGCCGGUUAUUAGUGUGAGUGCUCAUUACUGUAUAUUUACGAUUCUGUGAUUUCUCAAUAUGAUGCUGAGUAGGUAUAGAUCUAAGUAGGUAUAUAGUAGGUAUCUACAAUCCUUUCAAAACAGAAAUUUAUAAGUUCAUUUUAUGUACCUAUUAAACUUUAUUUUAAGGAUGAAUUUGAAAUGCUUGUAGGGAAUAUAUCUGUAAAAAAUAAAAUUGGUAUUGUAAAAUUGAAAUUCUCAAAAUAUAAUUUAUAAUUCGAA